rnacentral:rRNA from 1 species
UACAGAGGGUGCGAGCGUUGUUCGGAUUCAUUGGGCGUAAAGGGCGCGUAGGCUGCGGGGCAAGUCGGGUGUGAAAUCUCAGAGCUCAACUCUGAAACUGCACUCGAUACUGCUUUGCUUGAGGACUGGAGAGGAGAUUGGAAUUCACGGUGUAGCAGUGAAAUGCGUAGAUAUCGUGAGGAAGACCAGUGGCGAAGGCGGAUCUCUGGACAGUUCCUGACGCUGAGGCGCGAAGGCCAGGGGAGCAAACGGG